rnacentral:rRNA from 1 species
GACAGAGGUGCCGAGCGUUAGGCGGAAUCACUGGGCUUAAAGCGUGUGUAGGCGGAAGCGUAAGUGCCUUGUGAAAUCCCACGGCUCAACCGUGGAACUGCUGGGCAUACUGCGUUUCUUGAGCCAAUCAGGGGUCGUCGGAACAAACGGUGGAGCGGUGAAAUGCGUAGAUAUCGUUUGGAACGCCAAAGGCGAAAGCAGACGACUGGGAUUGCGCCGACGCUGAGACACGAAAGCCAGGGGAGCAAACGGG